rnacentral:lncRNA from 1 species
GCAUAAUUCACUACUCUAAGGAAGCAAUUUCCGGAAUUUGGGAAGUUGUUUUUCUUCACAAAAACAGCACAAAUAUACACAUCAAGAAGGUUGAAAGAAGAUCACAUUAUCAAAUAGGAGCAUGUUUUCCAAAAAGUAAGAUUGAUUCAGCCAGCAGAUGUGGCAUAUUGGCACAAUUGGUCAGCAUUUUUGACACAGAACAUAAAUAUAUAUUUGAAUUAAAAACCCACUAAAAAUUCACCAAAAAUUAAAUUCUGGACCCAUAAUCUCAAGUAUAACAAGUUUAGUGCUAAGAACCUUGAAAUUGAAUCCAUCAGAUUUAAAUUCAGGAUCCACCUAUGAAUUGAUAAUGUAGAAGACAGACAUACCGUGCUUAUCAGGAAGAAGAACAGAGAUGAUUCUGGCACCAAAGUUAGUGAUCUUAACAGAGAAAUCUCCUUUCUUGAUCUUAUAGAUUCCUAUCUUUCGCCCUCUAACAUUGGCAGCAGCCAACAGAUGAAGAAUGAAAAAACAACAACAAUUUCCAAAUAGAAACCCGGCAUCCUUUCCUCCAAGAUUGUCUUGAAGAAGAAUGAAAAAACAGAUCAACAAAUUAAUCUUUGAAGACAUAGUCAACUCCUGUGGUUUUGACGCAGAGAGCUUCUUCAGUCUUGAAAAUAUGCACUCCUCCAAUUUUGGAAUGAUUUUAACUCAUUAUCUGCAAUGUGCUUGAAAAUGGGAUAACUCCAUUGAAAAUCAACAAUGAUGAGUGGACAGACAGAGUCAAGGUAGCGGUCCCCAUUACCCACGUUUCUGUUGACACAGGUACAAAUUGAGCCGAGUGUUUAGCGGAGACAAACUAAGGUCCGCGUACACAUUAAAGGUGUUAAAUGGGUGGGCCGGGUCGCUAAUUUUUGGACUCGUACGGG